CCUACGGGGGGCAGCAGUGGGGAAUAUUGCACAAUGGGGGAAACCCUGAUGCAGCAACGCCGCGUGAGCGAAGAAGGCCUUCGGGUCGUAAAGCUCUGUCCUAAGGGAAGAAGCAUGACGGUACCUUAGGAGGAAGCCCCGGCUAACUACGUGCCAGCAGCCGCGGUAAUACGUAGGGGGCGAGCGUUAUCCGGAAUCACUGGGCGUAAAGGGUGCGUAGGCGGCCGAUUAAGCCAGGGGUGAAAGGCUACGGCUCAACCGUAGUAAGCCCUUGGAACUGAUUGGCUUGAGUGCAGGAGAGGAGAGUGGAAUUCCUAGUGUAGCGGUGAAAUGCGUAGAUAUUAGGAGGAACACCAGUGGCGAAGGCGACUCUCUGGACUGUAACUGACGCUGAGGCACGAAAGCGUGGGGAGCAAACAGGAUUAGAUACCCUAGUAGUC
rnacentral:rRNA from 1 species